rnacentral:rRNA from 1 species
CCACGGAGGGCGCAAGCGUUGCUCGGAAUCACUGGGCGUAAAGCGGGUGUAGGCGGUCUAGCAAGUCAGAUGUGAAAGCCCACGGCUCAGCCGUGGAAGUGCAUCUGAAACUGCUAGACUUGAGUGCCGGAGAGGGAAGUGGAAUUCCUGGUGUAGGGGUGAAAUCCGUAGAUAUCAGGAGGAACACCGGUGGCGAAGGCGACUUCCUGGACGGCCACUGACGCUGAGACCCGAAAGCGUGGGGAGCAAACAGGAUUAGAAACCCCAGUAGUCC